rnacentral:lncRNA from 1 species
GCAUAAGGAAGCUCCCAGGCUAGGAGUCAAAUCAGAGCUACAGCUGCUGCCACAGCCACAGCAAUGCUGGAUCCUCAACCCACGGAGAGAGGCCAGGGAUCCAACCCACAUCCUCACGGAUACUAGUUGGGCUCGUUACCACUGAGUCACAACAGGAACGUCUGAGAACACAGCUUAAAGCAACUCUAGCUUUAAAUCCGGUCUCCACAGGGGGCCAGGAGGAAGCUGAAAGGGGAUCUCCUCAUCCUGGUGGGGGGCCUGGUAUAAAGUGAGUGGUCCCUAAGGGGUCACUGAAGGAAAAUUCCGUGUGUCUGGCCCUGGCUGGGUGCUGGGACGGGGCUUGGAAAGGGAGAGCUUGGCCUGGCAGGGGUGUUGUUUUGGUUUGGUUUGGUUUUUGCUUUUUAAUAGCUACUCGUGUGUCUGUCUGCCUCUUACAUAGAGCCAAUGAAAUACAUUCUCCUCCUCCUCUUCCUCCUUCUGUUCUCUUAGAGUGGCAGAUUUUAACCUCGCUUUGACUCAGCCGCUCUUCAGGAAUCUGACGAAGGGUGGGAAGCCUUUCCUCAGAAGACGGUCCACACGCCCACCACCUGCAGGCGACUUCAGAGCCCACAGACGCUCUGCAGUCGUUCAGGGCCAGCCCCACAGGUCAAGAACCCUGGCCCACGUCUGCGGAGAGGGCAGCGGGUGUGGUCACGGCUCCGGGCUGUGGGAGCUGUGACACAGGAGGUGUCCUUGGUCUGGUCUGGGCCACGGAGCAGGGGGCCGUGAUCCGAGGCCUGUGGCUGUGUCUCCACACCCGACUCCCCUCCAGUUUCUUUUCCCUCAUAUUGGAAGGGACACCUGAGGAGGCCUUUGCAGAACCGGGCCUUAGGCAAGGCCUGGGGCUACAGGAAAAGCAGACCUGGCCUUGCUCUGAAGAUGCCACCGCUUGGUGGAGGGACAUGAAACACACCCAAAAGUGGGCAUAAAAUUCCAGCCUGUCCUGAAUUCCCUGGCGGCCUAGUGGUUAAGGAUCUGGCGUUGUCACUGUCGUGCACAGCUUCCAUCCAUCCCCAGCCUGGGAAAUUCCGCAUGGGCACGGCCCCCCAAAGAAGUUCAGCCUGUCUCACAGUGAGCCCAAAGCUGCCCCUUCCCCUUCUCCCCUCCCAUUCUGUCGCUGCCCAGCAGACCGCCUUCCUCACCCCAUGCCCACAGCCAGGCUGUCACCAGGCAGUGCCACUUCUUCCUGUUCUGCCCACCCCUGCUGCUGGCCUCUCACCAUGGCCCCCCCUUACCUACCUUCCCGCCUGCUGGCCUGCCUGGGUCUGGCCCCCUCGUCCGUCCAUCCCACCACAUCGAAAACGCACGUCUGACCACACAUGCUUACGGAACCCUAUGUGUCACGCCCAGGGCCUGGUUC